GUACGAGAGGACCGGGUCGUACGUACCGCUGGUGUAUCAGUUGUGCCGCCAGGUGCAGCGCUGAGUAGCUAUGUACGGACAGGAUAAACGCUGAAAGCAUCUAAGCGUGAAACCUUCCUUAAGAUGAGUUUACUUUUAAGGGUCGUCAGAGACGAUGACGUUGAUAGGCUACAGAUGUAAAGCUAGUGAUAGCAAAGUCGAGUAGUACUAAUUGCCCGUACGCUUUAAUUUUU
rnacentral:rRNA from 1 species